CCUUGCCAAGGGAAGAAGAAGUUAAUGCCCUGAGAUAAGACCCUCGUCACAAUAUUGUUUAAUUACAUAAGGCUUCUAUCGAGCUGGAGAUAAGAACAGGAAUUUGUCCCCAGUCCAGCUGGGUGCGGCUGCUGAGCUCAUGGUGUGUGCUAGAACGGGAACCAAAAGCAAGGGGUUCAUUGGAGGUGCUUGUCCCACCAUUAGAACUGGAAUGAGCAAACUGAUAGUGACAGCUGAUGGAAAAGUUAACUCUUUUUUCCAUGGGAGCAAUAAACCAACCUUUUUCUGAUAACGGUAGACUUAAAACUAUAAUUUCUCUUUAAAUUGCAUUGGGAAUGUUCAUUGAGCCAAACUGCUACUCUGAAACCAGUAAACCAAUAUUUUCAGACCUCUUUAGCAACCAAGAAACUAAAGCAGGAGGAUGAAUUGACUCACCUAAGACUACAGAAUAAAUCAGAUCAUGGAUAUGGAUGAGUCUAUCUGAAUGCCUGACUAAUGCCUCACAGCAACAAAACUGGUACCUCCUUCCUAUGAAAAAAAUGGUGGCUAAAAAAGUGCUUUAUUUGAAUCAUCUUCUUGGUUAUUUAUUUAAUAAAUUUGUUUAUGCAGGUAAAAUGAUUCAUGUACAAGUUUCUGGGAUAUUCUUCAUCUCUCUUUUGAAUUCACAUUAAUAAAGUUAAUUUGUAGACUUGAUAUUCAUCCUUGAUAAUUUAGCCUUGAGGAGACUGAGCGGAGAUCUGAACUAAUCUCUGCUCUCUGUGACAGGGACAGCACCCAGGGAAGGGCUGGAGCUCUGUCAGGGAGGGUCAGGUUGGAUUUUGGGAAAGGUUUCUUUCCCCAGAAGGUGCUGGGCACUGCCCAGGGUCCCCAGGGAAUGCCAGAGCUUCAGGAGAGCUUGGACACCUAUCCAGAAAUGCCAGGGUGGGAUUUUGGGGUAUCUGUACAGGACCAGGAGCUGGACUUGGACCAUCCCUUCCAACUCAGCAUAUUCCAUGAAUUUUACUUAUCUCAGUUUUGUAAUCUCAAAGUUUUCUCUUUCCCAGACAAGUGUAACCUCAAUCCUUACCUGUUCAUCUCAGCUCGGGGUGAUCUAACAUCCUGUAACACUCACAGAUACGAUUUCCUUUUCUGUUCCCUUUGGGAUUCCUUACACACGGCUGAGUUUUAUUUUAGCCUCUGGCUCCUGCCACAGCUCUUGCACUGGGAGCUGUGACUGGGUCAUGAGCAGCGUUGUUUGCCAGAGGUAAAGCUGGGCACACACUCAUCCCUCGGGUCAAUCAGCUCCGUUCAUCAAUGGGGAAUGCAGUGACUCUUAGGAAGGUGCAGUGCUUAUUCACUUCUGCCCCUUCUGCUGCAGAGGUGUGUAAAAACAACCAAAAACUGCCCCGUGGCUUUUGUUUGGGCUGUUGUGUGGCAGGACCCACCCCAGGCCAUUUCCCCCGGUGCCUUUAUUCACAUUUUGGUGUGGCGGGGUGGGCUGGGAAUCGGGGUGAGCGCAUUGCUCGGCAGGGCGUGUGCCCCCGAUUAUGUGUUGUGUUUCUGCAGGGUGUGUCCUGGAGCCCUGAGCACAACUGCCGUUCAGGAAAAGGAAAAAACAUUGCAGAGAAUGAAGAGGAAAAAAAAAAUGUUAUAAAGCGUUUUCAAAAUAUAAAUAACAGCGUGUGAGGAAAUCUUGCUGAAGGAACAGGAUGCGCGUGGAGGUGAAGAAUUCAAAUACAAGUGCUGUGCUAAGUAUAAUCAGCAAUGAAAGUUCAGCCCUUCCUCUUAGGAUUUGGGUAAGCUGUGUGUUGGCAGUACUUCCCAAAUUCCAGGGAACAAAAAGCAAGCUUUCAAUGUUGUCUUAAAGUCUUGUUGCAGUGUUGUUUGUUUAUCAGUACCACAUUUGUAAUGCUGCCCAUCUAUUUUUGUGACAUUGGAUUUAAAAUACACAGUAGAAUAAAUGAGUGUCUACUGAA